GUCUAGUUGGAGACAUCAGUUAACGGAUAAUCACAACAAUCCAGGAAAUGAAGAUUUAGACUUGGAUCUAGACGGAGAUUAGACCACUGGAUCAGUGGUCAAAGGGAACCAGAUUGAGGCUAAAGAAAAUGAGAAAUUACUAUGAUAAAAAUGGGAAGCAAAGAGUGGCAGAGUGAAGACUUAAAGUCAGUUUGCUGUAGUCAUCACAUAGAAUGUAAUAAAUUGGUGAGGUGGGGAGAGAAAAGGACAAUUAUGUUGUUUCUUUAACUGUGGCAGAAUGACUUUUCUCCAGUUUUUUAAUGCUAAAACACAGAGUAUGUCUCUGUGCUGUGCAGUGGAAGGUCAUGAGGUAGAAAUGGCAAAGAAUAAAGUACAUCACUCGAAGGUCUUCUGAAUAGGCAUUUGCUUCCCUCUUAAACAAAUACACUCUUUAAGAUAUACUGAGAAGACCAAGAUUAAGGUACUAGAAGAUUCAAUAUUGUAUUAGUUCAUUUUCGUAUUGCUACCUGAGACUGGCUAAUUUACUAAAAAAAAAAAAAAAAGGUUUAAUUGGCUCACAGUUCCACAGGCUGUAUAAGAAGCAUGAUUGGGGAGGCCUCAGAAAACUCACAAUCAUGGUGGAAGAUGAAAAGGAAGAAGGCUCAUCCUACAUGGCUGGAGGAGGAGGAAGAGAGAGCAAAGGGGGAGGUGUCACACACUUUCAUACAACCAGAUCUCAUGAGAUCAGGAGAUCGAAACCAUCCUGGCUAACACGGUGAAACCCCGUCUCUACUAAAAAUAUAGAAAAUUAGCCGGGCGUGGUGGCGGGCACCUGUGGUCCCAGCUACUCGGGAGGCUGAGGCAGGAGAAUGGCGUGAACCUGGGAGGUGGAGCUUGCAGUGAGCCGAGGUGGCGCCGCUGCCCUCCAGUCUGGGCGACAGAGCGAGACUCCGUCUCAAAAAAAAAAAAAAAGACUUACUAUAAAGUGAGAAUAAUCCAGUGUACAACUGACACAGCAAAGACAUACAGAUAAAAGAAACAGAUAGGAAAUAUAGAAACAGAUCCACAAAUAUAUGACAAACCGAACUUUGACAAAAGUGCCAAUAUAUUUAAAUACGAAUUUUUUUCAACAAAAGAUACUGGAACAAUGAGACAUCCAUAUGGAUGUGACCUCUGUCUCACACCUUAUACAAAACUUAAAUCAAAAUGUAUCAGGGAUAAAAAGUUAAAGCUAAAACUGUAAAACUUCUAGAAAAAAACAUGGGCUAAGAUUCUUCACAUUUUUGAAGUAGGCAAAGAUUUUUGGAUAGAGCACAAAACAAAACCAUAAAGAAAAAAAUUAGUAAACUGGUCUUCAUCAAAUUUUAAAUUUUCUGCUGGGGAGUGAGGGAUAAAAGACUACGAAUUGGGGUUCACUGUAUACUGGUUGGGUGAUGGAUGCACCAAAAUCUCACAAAUCACCACUAAAGAACUUACUCAUGUAGCCAAAUACUAUCUGCUCUGCAAAAUCCUAUGGAAAUAAAAAAAUAAAAAUAAAAAUAAAUAAAUAAAAUAACAUUUCUACACUUAUUAAAUGAAAAGACAAGUUACCAACUGCAAGAAAAUAUUUGCAAUGCAUACACUUGAGUACAUAUUGUAUAAUUCCAUUCGUAUUAAACUGAUUUUUGCAUAUCAGUCUUAUAUCUUGUGGCCUCACUAAAUUAAAGUAUUAAUUCUAGUAGCUUUGUGUUAGAUUCAUUAGGACUUUUUAAUAUACACAAUCAUGUCACCUAGCCCCAUUUACUUCUUAUUUUUCAACCUCUAUUUUUUUUUUCUUUUUUAGAAACAGGAUCUCAUUCUGUUGCCUAGGCUGGAGUGCAGUGAUGUGAUUAUAGCUCACUGUGGCCUUGAACUCGUGGGCUCAAGCAAUCCUCUCAUCUCAGCCUCCCAAGUAGCUGGGACUACAGGUGCAUGCCACCAUGCCUGGCUAUUUUGUAAAAGCUUUUUGUAGAGACAGGGUCUCACUAUGGUGCCCAGGUUGGUCUCUAACUCCUGACCUCAAGUGAUCUUCCUGCCUCGACCUCCCAAAGUUCUGGGAUUAUAGGCAUAAGCCACCACACCCAGCCCCAAUCUGUAUUUCUUUUCUUCCUUUCUCUUACCUUAUUUCACAAACUAGAUCUCUAAUACAAUGUUGCAUAGAAGUUGUGAAAAUUAAUAUUAAUUUAUUUCUGGACUUAGGAGAAAGUAUAGUCUUUAACCAUUAGGUAUAACUGUAGGUUUUUCAUAGAUUUGCUGUGAUUUACAGAAAACAAUGUAAGAUUCAAAUAUACACAUGCUUAUUUAUUUAUCCCAAUUAUUCACCUGAAUUUAAGGGAAAUAAUCAAAGUGAAGGUCCUCAUUUUGUCUGCACUAGCUUUGCACCUCCCAAGAAAACCAUCAACACCUAGACCCUUCCUCGGACUCUCUUUCUAGAAAACUCUGAUUAAGACAGGUGCCUCCAUCAAGAAUGAAUGAGUGAGAUAAUAUUCAAAAGAAGAUCAUGUUUAAACUGAGCCUGAUCAGAAAUAAAAGUGAAUCAUGUGAGUUAGACAGAGACAGGGAAAUUCCAGAAAGGUGGAAAAAUAAUUACAUGAAAUCCUAGAAUCAUAGAUACACAUGCAGUGUUUAUACCAUUGCCAGUAGUUUUAGUUGACAGGUAUAUUAGAGAAAGAGGUGAGAGAUUAGCUGAGGGAGGAGGAAAGGAAGGAAAUUGAGUUGCUAUGAAAUUCUAAUUUUGUCCAGAAAUAAACAGUUUCAAAUUGAGAUUUAAAAAUAUUUUAAAGAGGAAAAUAAGCUGAUUAUACUUCUAAUUUAGAACAAUCACUAGUAGUUAUCUGAAAGAGAGUAAAUUAAUAGGAGUGGAAAUGGAGACACAAUAUGAGAAAAGACCAUGGCAGACACCAAAGUAACAACUGGUAGGGGCCUGAAGUGAGAC
rnacentral:lncRNA from 1 species